AACGAACGCCGGCGGCAGGCCUAACACAUGCAAGUCGAACGCUGUAGCAAUACAGAGCGGCAGACGGGUGAGUAACGCGUGGGAACGUGCCUUUCGGUUCGGAAUAACUCAGGGAAACUUGAGCUAAUACCGGAUACGCCCUUCGGGGGAAAGAUUUAUUGCCGAAAGAUCGGCCCGCGUCCGAUUAGCUAGUUGGUGUGGUAAUGGCGCACCAAGGCGACGAUCGGUAGCUGGUCUGAGAGGAUGAUCAGCCACACUGGGACUGAGACACGGCCCAGACUCCUACGGGAGGCAGCAGUGGGGAAUAUUGGACAAUGGGCGCAAGCCUGAUCCAGCCAUGCCGCGUGAGUGAUGAAGGCCCUAGGGUUGUAAAGCUCUUUCGCCAGGGACGAUAAUGACGGUACCUGGAUAAGAAGCCCCGGCUAACUUCGUGCCAGCAGCCGCGGUAACAC
rnacentral:rRNA from 1 species